UUUCACAUGUUUUGUUGUAUGGGCACCUGACAGUUUAAAAUUGGCCUACGUGUAUACUUGAACUCAGAGGAUGCCAUGAAAACGGUAAGUCUAGAGAGGGCGCUGAUUGACACCAGACCUCAGGUUAGUUGUGUUAUAGUCACAUUUCGUUAGACUGCAUGAAAACUUCAACAAGAAGACGGCAUUACAGGUGCUUUGCGCGGAGCCAUUUCCCUCCCUGUAUGCCUGACGUGGACAGGUGAAGAAGUCGGUUGGUGAAUUUACAGGUAGCAUUCAGCCAUCGGUGGGCAGCCCAGUGACAGCGGUGGAAUAGCGGCAAUCUCAGCACUGGAGCUGAAGGCAUCGACUGCCGUGGCAUCCAGUCGUACCUUCGAUAGUAAUUGCGAUGGCCUGCCUCGUCAAGGAGACUUACUUGCCCGAGGCGGGAAAACAGUGAUUCAUCCACCUGUGUGUGUCGACUGCAUCAAUAAGCAAUUAAUGACACAUGCAACAGGCAACAGUCUCCACAUCUGAGUGUUUUAAAUACUUAAUUUUGUGUAAAAUUCUGCUGUUCGUCUUCGGAAGGGCGUCACAGCUGUGGUCAAGCCACCGUGAACUUCGUUAAGUUUCGUGUCUGGGACAUUUGGAAGAGGACAAUCGUUAAAAUUGUGUGGUGUGUUUUUGGAUUCUUUGACUAAACUGGAACUACAUUUUGACUGAUAUUUCUUAUCGAUGAAAAUCUGUCUAGAAGAAUGCACUAUCUUAAGAUGCAGCUAAACACCCGCUGUUCUGUGCAGAAGGUCGCUCUGUGCACAUUGUUUACUCGGAUCUCUGGUUUUUAUCGGCCAUCAAAUUUUAACAUUGCUGUCAUUAAAGACACUUUGUUUCGUUCAUCAGAAUCAAAGACUUGGAUAUAUGAGUCAAAAUCUAGUGAAGUAAUAUGUACGAAAUGUGUGAAAGAAAAUUUAUAUUUCUUCAGCGCAAAGAAUGUGGACUAGAUGUUUUGCAGUAACUUCAUUAUGUGUAUUUUAUUGGAAUUAUGUACGUGUAAGUGUAUAUUACAGAAUUGCAGACAACGUUACAACGUAUAAGUUGACAAUUAACAAGGUUCCGUCAUGUUUCAAAUGCCAGCUUGAGUAUCAUUUAACUGACCGAGGGAUUCUAUAUUGUUAGUCAAGGUAAAGGAUUUACCAUAUAUUUUUAAGAUGGCUGUCUUCUGGGUUGUCGCGCCGUACGGUCUGGUACAGUUUUACCGACGUUUCAGAGGCGCUUUCUUCCUCACGUCAUCAGGGUGCACCAUCGUUCUGAAAAUAGAGGCAGCAAGAACUUAUGAAACGUCUGUAAACUUCCACCACACUACACAGCGUAACAAACCCAGAAGACAGCCAUCUUCACUCUCGUCGCCGCGAGGACCUGAAAUCUCACUAAAUACAUUUUAUUUUCUGAUCCCGAGAAGUACGGUGAUUUGGAGACGUGGCUAAAUUUCUGCCCUCGAAAUAUUGUGCUUAAAAUACAGUUGCUUGGUAAAGUUUGCCAAAAUAUGAGUUAUCAUUCUGUUAUUUUAUUGAAACGAAACUUCAACAAUCACAUAAAAUUACAACUCCUUCAAAAACUGGUUGAAUUAUAUUGCAAAAGUUCAAUAUACUUGUAAUUCAUAAACGAAUAACCCCUUUAACCGAAAAUAUUUCAUAUUACAUGAUCAGUGAUAUCAGCUGUUAACUUUCAAAGUUCCGUUUCAUUGUCCACAAUUCCUGUAGACAGUGAAACAAACGAAUUAUCCCCACAGAUAUUAACUCCAGAAAAAGGGUGUUCGCUUCAUCUCAUCCGUUAGAAUCUUAGCAAAGUAACAUGCAGAGAUUCUACCGGUACAUUAAAACAUUUCUAAGAAUAACUGAUCUCCAGACUUAAAAAUAUCAAAAACCUUCUGUUUUUUUUAAGAAACACGGCUUUAUUGUAACGUAACAUUGAAAUGUUGAACACAGUUUUGUUGAAUCCUGUAUUCAGAUAUGAAUGUCUAUAUUAUAAUUCAUUAUAAUUAAAACAUUUAUAAUACAA